rnacentral:rRNA from 1 species
GACGAACGCUGGCGGCGUGCUUAACACAUGCAAGUCGAACGGAAAGGCUCCAGCUUGCUGGAGUACUCGAGUGGCGAACGGGUGAGUAACACGUGGGUAAUCUGCCCUGCACUCUGGGAUAAGCCUGGGAAACUGGGUCUAAUACUGGAUAUGACCUUUCUCCUUAUGGGGUUUGGUGGAAAGUUUUUCGGUGUAGGAUGAGCCCGCGGCCUAUCAGCUUGUUGGUGGGGUGAUGGCCUACCAAGGCGACGACGGGUAGCCGGCCUGAGAGGGUGAUCGGCCACAUUGGGACUGAGAUACGGCCCAGACUCCUACGGGAGGCAGCAGUGGGGAAUAUUGCACAAUGGGCGGAAGCCUGAUGCAGCGACGCCGCGUGAGGGAUGACGGCCUUCGGGUUGUAAACCUCUUUCAGCUGGGACGAAGCGUAAGUGACGGUACCUGCAGAAGAAGCACCGGCUAACUAUGUG